GACGAACGCUGGCGGCGUGCUUAACACAUGCAAGUCGAACGGAAAGGCCCUGCUUUUGUGGGGUGCUCGAGUGGCGAACGGGUGAGUAACACGUGAGUAACCUGCCCUUGACUUUGGGAUAACUUCAGGAAACUGGGGCUAAUACCGGAUAGGAGCUCCUGCUGCAUGGUGGGGGUUGGAACGUUUCGGCGGUUGGGGUUGGACUCGCGGCUUAUCAGCUUGUUGGUGGGGUAGUGGCUUACCAAGGCUUUGACGGGUAGCCGGCCUGAGAGGGUGACCGGCCACAUUGGGACUGAGAUACGGCCCAGACUCCUACGGGAGGCAGCAGUGGGGAAUAUUGCACAAUGGGCGGAAGCCUGAUGCAGCAACGCCGCGUGCGGGAUGACGGCCUUCGGGUUGUAAACCGCUUUCGCCUGUGACGAAGCGUGAGUGACGGUAAUGGGUAAAGAAGCACCGGCUAACUACGUG
rnacentral:rRNA from 1 species